UCACUUUUGGAUGGUCCCGCGGCGUAUUAGCUAGAUGGUGGGGUAACGGCUCACCAUGGCAAUGAUACGUAGCCGACCUGAGAGGGUAAUCGGCCACAUUGGGACUGAGACACGGCCCAAACUCCUACGGGAGGCAGCAGUAGGGAAUCUUCCACAAUGGACGAAAGUCUGAUGGAGCAACGCCGCGUGAGUGAAGAAGGGUUUCAGCUCGUAAAACUCUGUUGUUAAAGAAGAACAUAUCUGAGAGUAACUGUUCAGGUAUUGACGGUAUUUAACCAGAAAGCCACGGCUAACUACGUGCCAGCAGCCGCGGUAAUACGUAGGUGGCAAGCGUUGUCCGGAUUUAUUGGGCGUAAAGCGAGCGCAGGCGGUUUUUUAAGUCUGAUGUGAAAGCCUUCGGCUCAACCGAAGAAGUGCAUCGGAAACUGGGAAACUUGAGUGCAGAAGAGGACAGUGGAACUCCAUGUGUAGCGGUGAAAUGCGUAGAUAU
rnacentral:rRNA from 1 species